rnacentral:rRNA from 1 species
GGCUCAGAUUGAACGCUGGCGGCAGGCCUAACACAUGCAAGUCGAGCGGUAGAGAGAAGCUUGCUUCUCUUGAGAGCGGCGGACGGGUGAGUAAUGCCUAGGAAUCUGCCUGGUAGUGGGGGAUAACGUUCGGAAACGGACGCUAAUACCGCAUACGUCCUACGGGAGAAAGCAGGGGACCUUCGGGCCUUGCGCUAUCAGAUGAGCCUAGGUCGGAUUAGCUAGUUGGUGAGGUAAUGGCUCGCCAAGGCGACGAUCCGUAACUGGUCUGAGAGGAUGAUCAGUCACACUGGAACUGAGACACGGUCCAGACUCCUACGGGAGGCAGCAGUGGGGAAUAUUGGACAAUGGGCGAAAGCCUGAUCCAGCCAUGCCGCGUGUGUGAAGAAGGUCUUCGGAUUGUAAAGCACUUUAAGUUGGGAGGAAGGGUUGUAGAUUAAUACUCUGCAAUUUUGACGUUACCGACAGAAUAAGCACCGGCUAACUCUGUGCCAGCAGCCGCGGUAAUACAGAGGGUGCAAGCGUUAAUCGGAAUUACUGGGCGUAAAGCGCGCGUAGGUGGUUUGUUAAGUUGGAUGUGAAAUCCCCGGGCUC